rnacentral:SRP_RNA from 1 species
AAUCUGUCAUGGAUAGUCCAGUGGGAGGUCGGCCGUUAAGUCAAUAACCUUGCUUAGGUAAUUGCCAGCGGGACCGGUGCCUGGUACGAAUCCGGGGGUCGUCGUUGUACUCGUGCGAGUAGUCCACGAUUGCUACACGGCGCUAAGCAAUGGAAGUGACCCUUGAGGGAAGCAAUUCUGCAGAGACAUUUCCACCCUAGGAUGGCGUCACCAGAUUACACCGUCCCGUUACAGGGAAGUUGGCAGUUUGGCUGGGCAACUACUUUU